rnacentral:rRNA from 1 species
AUUCCAGCUCCAAUAGCGUAUAUUAAAGUUGUUGCGGUUAAAAAGCUCGUAGUUGGAUUUCUGCUGAGGAUGACCGGUCCGCCCUCUGGGUGAGUAUCUGGCUCAGCCUUGGCAUCUUCCUGAAGAACGUAUCUGCACUUGACUGUGUGGUGCGGUAUUUAGGACAUUUACUUUGAGGAAAUUAGAGUGUUUCAAGCAAGCGCACGCCUUGAAUACAUUAGCAUGGAAUAAUAAGAUAGGACCUCGGUUCUAUUUUGUUGGUUUCUAGACCUGAAGUAAUGAUUGAUAGGGACAGUUGGGGGUGCUAGUAUUGGCCGGCCAGAGGUGAAAUUCUUGGACUCGGUCAAGACUAACUUAUGCGAAAGCAUUCACCAAGGAUGUCUUCAUCG